AUUGAACGCUGGCGGCAGGCUUAGCACAUGCAAGUCGAGCGGAGAGAGGUAGCUUGCUACCGAUCUUAGCGGCGGACGGGUGAGUAAUGCUUAGGAAUCUGCCUAUUAGUGGGGGACAACAUUUCGAAAGGAAUGCUAAUACCGCAUACGUCCUACGGGAGAAAGCAGGGGAUCUUCGGACCUUGCGCUAAUAGAUGAGCCUAAGUCGGAUUAGCUAGUUGGUGGGGUAAAGGCCUACCAAGGCGACGAUCUGUAGCGGGUCUGAGAGGAUGAGCCGCCACACUGGGACGGAGACACGGUCCAGACUCCUACGGGAGGCAGCAGUGGGGAAUAUUGGACAAUGGGCGCAAGCCUGAUCCAGCCAUGCCGCGUGUGUGAAGAAGGCCUUAUGGUUGUAAAGCACUUUAAGCGAGGAGGAGGCUACUUUAGUUAAUACCUAGAGAUAGUGGACGUUACUCGCAGAAUAAGCACCGGCUAACUCUGUGUCAGCAGCCGCCGUAACAC
rnacentral:rRNA from 1 species